AUGGAGCCCGGAGCUUUAGCGACGUGCGGGGCGGUGGCCUUCUCCUGGGAGCAGGAGCCGGGGGUGUCCAAGGAGAGCCCGGCGGCCGAGGCAAGGAAGCACUCCGGCGGAAGGAGUACUACGCCGGACAGCACCAAGAAGGUGGAGGCACGGACGCACCAGCUGCGCGUGCCGCCUCCUCCGGGAGGUCCUGGAGCGCCGUCUCUGUCGCCGCCGGUGAAGACGGUGAGGAGCAGGUCCAGCAGACGGGGCGUCCGGCCGGAGGAGGACCCGUUCCUCGCGGCCUACGUCGCCUGCACGGCCAGCGGCAGGAAGACCGGCCGGGGGCACACCGAGGCCCAGAAGAUGCUCGGGUGGGCCGGGCUUAGGUUUGCCCUUGGGCUUGGCCUCUCUUGCAAGACCUCUUGUGGUGUUGCCGAGGAGAGCGUCGUCAGCCUGACUAAAAAACGCUGA
rnacentral:rRNA from 1 species